AUGUGGGGAGCAGAGGGGAAACAUAUAUACACAUACAAACGAGCUAGAUUGGGACCUGGUGUGGAAGAUGGGAAACAUGUGACAGUCCGGGAUGUGUUCGUGAGAAUAUGGGAACUUGUGGAAAUAUGGCACGGUGGCGCUGCUGCUCCCCGCACCAUGACAGUACCCCCCCCCAAAGGCCCGGCCACCGGACGGGCCAAGACAAACCCCAGCCCAAGGGAGGGGGGGCGGGGCAGCACAGUACCCCCAUCGGCACAAACCCGCCGAGGGGGCGGAACAGCCGAGACUAACCAGGGUGGCGGAGCCGUCGGGACAGGCCGGGGAGGCAGAACCGGCCGAAGAUCAGGAGCCGGCGGAGGGUCAGGAGCCGGGAGAGCCGACGGAGGGUCGGUGGCCGGUGGAGGGUCAGAGGCCGGGAGAGCCGACGGAGGGUCGGUGGCCGGCGGAGGGUCAGAGGCCGGGAGAGCCGACGGUGGGUCGGUAGCCGGAAGAGCCGACGGUGGGUCGGUAGCCGGAAGAGCCGACGGUGGGUCGGUAGCCGGAAGAGCCGACGGUGGGUCGGUAGCCGGAAGAGCCGACGGUGGGUCGGUGGCCGGAAGAGCCGACGGUGGGUCGGUGGCCGGAAGAGCCGACGGUGGGUCGGUGGCCGGAAGAGCCGACGGUGGGUCGGUGGCCGGAAGAGCCGACGGUGGGUCGGUGGCCGGAAGAGCCGACGGUGGGUCGGUGGCCGGAAGAGCCGACGGUGGGUCGGUGGCCGGAAGAGCCGACGGUGGGUCGGUGGCCGGAAGAGCCGACGGUGGGUCGGUGGCCGGAAGAGCCGACGGUGGGUCGGUAGCCGGAAGAGCCGACGGUGGGUCGGUAGCCGGAAGAGCCGAAGGAGGGUCGGUAGCCGGAAGAGCCGAAGGAGGGUCGGUAGCCGGAAGAGCCGAAGGAGGGUCGGUAGCCGGAAGAGCCGAAGGAGGCGCCGGGGCGGCCGGGACAGGAAGGGGCGCCGGGGCGGCCGGGACAGGAAGGGGCGCCGGGGCGGCCGGGACAGGAAGGGGCGCCGGGGCGGCCGGGACAGGAAGGGGCGCCGGGGCGGCCGGGACAGGAAGGGGCGCCGGGGCGGCCGGGACAGGAAGGGGCGCCGGGGCGGCCGGGACAGGAGAGGGCGGUGGCGGCCAAACCCCGGCAAGCUCAGGCGGUGCAGGCCACUCCUCCUCGGCCUCAGGCGGUGCAGGCCACUCCUCCUCGGCCUCAGGCGGUGCAGGCCACUCCUCCUCGGCCUCAGGCGGUGCAGGCCACUCCUCCUCGGCCUCAGGCGGUGCAGGCCACUCCUCCUCGGCCUCAGGAGGCGCUGGCUGCUGCUCCAAUGCAGCAGUGGGCAAUCGGCGCCGUGGCGCAGGGACAGGGGCAGCGGAAGGCCGCGGAGCAGGAAGCGGUGUGCGCCUAAUUGCCAGCCUACAGCCUGGCCAGCCUGCACGGGGUCGAGGAGGCACCGGACAUAGAGGGGGCGUCGUCGGGACUUCCCCCGGGCACCCACUCAGCCCCCCCCUAAAAUUUUCCUGGGGGGACCUCGGACCGAGCGUUGGGCACCUCGCCCUCUUCUUCCUCCGGCCUCGCCUACGUCCUGACCCUCCUGCCUCCUGCAUGUCCUGCAGGAGACCCUUCACCAGCUCCCCUUGUUCUUUGGUGAGGGGCUUGACCACUCCAUACUGGUCCAUGCCCCACAGCGGCACCCCGAACCCAUCUUGGGGCAACCCCCAGCACUGCUCCCCAAGGGGAUCCUCCUCCACUCUCUCAUAG
ensembl:lncRNA